UAGGAUUUCUGAGAAGGCAAUAGAAAGAAAAAGGAGGAUGUGCAUACAUAUUUGGACAUUUGCUCUUCUAACUUCAACUUCUUUAAUUCCAAUUGGCUUUGCUCAUGCUACAGAUUUUAGACAUCUUCGAUAUGCUCCACCUUCAUUGGUUCUUUUGCAUUGUUCUGCUUAGCACGUUAGCCCCCACAUGUAUUAUCGUCUUUGUUGCAUUAUGACGGAGUGUUCCAUGAUGAUGUGGACAGAGAGAAUCCAAAUUGGUUAAAGAUAGCAUAAUUGCGCCCCCACCAUGUUCAAAUUUAAUCCAUCGACACGUCUGAUUGCGUUACCAAUACCAGAAAACAGAGAUCAAAAGGUCAUGCAAGUCUUCGUCGCAUGUCGUAUGUGGAAAAAAAGACACCCUAUGAGUAAUGUACCUUAAAUCUAUUUCACUCACAAUCACACCCCCUUUGGACCCCACCCUCAAAAAAUCAAUCUAUAUCUUCUC
rnacentral:lncRNA from 1 species